GGGUAAGUCUUGCACGACCAGCUCCUGCUGAAUCCCCCCAGGUCCGGAAGGAAGCAAGGGUAGGUGGUUGUAGCGGUGCGAUGCAAGAAGCUUACCCCUU
rnacentral:SRP_RNA from 1 species